GAAGAAUCAUGGCAACACAUCUAAAACCUUCAAGUCUGGCCAUGGGAACACAGGAAGUAGAUAGUGUAGUACAGAUAUCAAAUGUGAAUAGAGAAAAGAAUUGUAUACUCCAUGUGGUCCUUUGCUUUAUUGAUGUUGGUAAUUUUUGAAUAACAUAAGGAUUUGGGAAUUUAUAAUUGAAGUAGGUACACCAUAUUUACACUGUUAUUCUCAGUCUAUAGAUGGGCCCACUUUGUUUCCAAAAUCAUAGCAGAGAAUGGAAUUUGAAAACAGAAUUUUUGAGUACAUAUUCAGGAAUAUUUAUAAUGUCCCCUAUGAAGGAAUGUACAAUAGGAAAGUGAAAUACAAUAUUCAUUCAACGAAAGGUGUGUAGGUAAAGUACUGGCCUUUAUAAAAUUAAGAAAACCUAGAAAAUUGAACUGUAUGUCACAGGAAUUGACCUGGGAAUAAAAAUAUUAUCCAGAAGAAUCUCCUCCACUCCAAGUUCCUAAAUAAUUUCUAUCCAUGCCAUGCCCCUGACUCAUUUUCUCCAUUCAGAAGUCACUAGCUUUAGAGAGAUGGAGAACGAAAGUUUCCACUGUGUCACAGGAGACAUACCUAAAUUGGCACCCUCAAAACUGGUUAAUGUAAGGAAAGCUGUUUAGAGUCAGGCCAUGGCAGUUCUCAGUGACAAUAUCAUUAGGCUCUCCCUGAAAAAUCUCUUGUAUCCUUGAGAGCACUAGCUUCUUCUGUGAUGUAAUAAGUGUUGUCCUGACUGCAAAUGCCUCUCAGAUAUUACUUCAGUACCUAUAGGUUUUACUAAUUGGCCUCAAAUUCAGGGGAAACAGUCAUUAGGGAGGGAGAACAAAGACGAUGAAGAAAUCAGAGAUGGGGAGAACGAAGCUGGUCUUCUGUCUUGGUAUAAAAGAAGGAAGAAAUACAUCAUCCCUGAGAAAUCUCACUGAAGCCUUGGUAGGAGUGGAAUAUGAAAAAUAGUCCUGAGGAAGGAGGGACAACAAGUAUUGUAUCGUCAUGUCAUCUCAAGAAAAACUCUCAAAACUCAUCCUGGCUGACAAUGUAGAUUAGACGCAUCAGAUGAAAUGAAUUGAAAAACUCUCCUGGGAAUGAAAGUGGUAAGGAAAUCACAUUGAUGUAUCCUAAAUGCAGUGCUAAGAGCAAUAUUCAGACUAGUCUGUGGAGAUGCUGCUGUCAUCAGAGACCACAGACAAUUAGUGGAGAAUGAUUCAGCAUUAAACUGGGAAUGGAAGAUGAUGGUUGAUAUUGUUCUAGUAGAUCUCACUACAUUAAAAAGUGUUUCUUCCAGAUAACUGAAUGAUUAUUGUAAAGCAAAUCCCGGAAUGAACUUAUGAGACCCACCAUCAGCCUGUCAAAUAAUGUGCGAAAGAAGAAAUCUGUGUCUCUCCAGGGACAAAUUGUUGCUUUCAAACCAACAGUAAAGUGUCCAUUCUAUGAA